AACCCAAAUCAAUAUGCCAAUUGGUUUUUUCACAAACGUCUCUUUAUCAGAGUGUGCACUCGUUGUUAAAACAUCGCACAUAGACAACAAAGAAUUUAUCAUUGAUGACGAUUUCAACGACGAAAUAUUCGUAAUAGAAACAAACACAAGCUUGCUGUUUUUAACAACCAUUCUGAAAACAGUAUGGCCGCCAGUAAUAAAAUUCCGGGCAAUCAUUACUGCUGAAGAAACCCCAGCCUGUCUUUCAAUCGAUUCACUAAGACAAUCUAGAAGAACUAAAAUACGAAAGGAAACUUGCACUGAGCCAACCAUGAUCCUUACGUUUCUUUCGGCUUUGAAUCUUUGUCAGCAUUGUGAAGAAGUAUUCACAAUUCUAGCCGGGGAACAUCAAAGCAUUGAUCUAACCGUCAUAUCUUUCGAACCAAAUUGUGCAGAUUAUGAAGGUAAGUAUAUUCAAAUCUUUAACAACUUCUGAUAACUUUUAAUUCUAGAAAAAAUAAACUCGAGCUUAUAUAAUGUCAUUUGACGGAUUCCUUGAGGUAUACCCGCCACGUGCACGUAGAAACGAUUUCGUCUAUUCAGCAAUGGGGAAAAUUUUAUUCUUACUUUGGUUAUUUUUUUUUUUUUUUUGUAACAAAAUUGCAAUGUUUACAGAUUCUUCUAUAAAAUAGCUUUUCUGAUGUUAAAUAUGUCAUUGAACUUUUAAGAAUUGAAAUAACGUUUAAUUUAACUGAUACAGCUAUAUUUGAAUACUAUAUUCUUUUAUAUUUUUAUCGUUUUUUAUUAACGUGAUGAAUUACAUGUCAAUUACCCAGACUUAUUCUAAUGUCGGAAACCAAAUUUGGACAGGGAACAAAAGCUAAGGGUUUAAUUAUUCGCAAUUUCUUUUAUUACCGUAAUGCAUUUUUCAGUCGACUGUUGCCCACUCAUAUUUAAAAGUCAUUUUAGAAAGAACAUCUGCAAUGUACAAAAAUAAAUAUGAUAAGUAUCAACUUAAAUUUUACAAGUAAAAAGGGAAUGAUUCGAAGAUUUAUAAUUCAGUGUGCAAACGUCUAAUUAUGCCUAAGUCAGAGGCAAUUCUUGACAAUAUAGGCUAGGUGGAUUUUGGUAUUUUUAUGGCAAUUAACACUGCGAAAAAUAUAUGGAUAUAGGGAAGUGUACGAAAUUCCGUAUACGGUAAUCCGUUCACUCGUAAUAAACGGGGACUUUGAUGUACGAAGUCCGUAUUUUACAUCUAUACGGAAUUUUUAUAACAAGUCCGUAUAUAUCUAAAAUUCGAAAUUCCGUAUUCUUUCAAAUACGAAUUCAGUAUACACAUGUAUUUAAAUAACAAAUGAAUAUUUACUUUUCAAUUGCCUAUUUGCUAUAAAAGGAAAGAAAAAGUAUAAUCUAACAUAAGUCAGACAUUUUACAAAAUGACAUAAAGAAAGGAAAGCUUUAACUCAAUGUAAUAUUUCAGGGAUGUAUUAACACGUAAAUUGCAAAUUGAUUGUCAGUGCAGAAAGCAUGUAAAACAUCCAUAUAUCCACAUAGUCUGUAGCAUAUAGACACAAACCGAAAAUGUAUAUUGAACUUUAUUCUUUUAUACCGCUCGGUUUGCAUUUAGCACAUAUUCGAUAUGUUUUACACUCAUGUAUUUACAAUUACAAUCAUAUAUCAUGUCUUUAGUUGCAUUCAUUGAACGCCACCUUUCCAUGUAGAUCUUGUUUGUCAUAUUUUAGUACUCUACUGUUCGAAGUAAAUUCUAUCAUAAUUUUGGCUAUACAGCGAUAAAUUAACAUUUGCGGUUGACGAUGAGAUAGUACAUGUACUCUCUCCUAUUUUCCGUUUACGGUGAAUCAUGUAAUUUCGUAUUUUUCAUCUUUAUAAUAUUUUAAAAUGAUAAGCCAAAUAAGAGAAAUUAAUAAAAGUGGAAUCGUGAUGUCUAAAUAUAAAUUGAUGAAAUUUAAAUCAUGAAUCUGUGACGUAUAAACCAAUCUGUGAAGUUGAAAUUGUGAAAUCGUAAAAGUAAGAAUUGUGAAAUCACGAAGAUGUAAUCGGAAACUCGUGAGGUUGAUAUGUAUGAUCACUGGUAUUUCGAAUACAAUAGUUAUUUGUCGUUAUUUCGUCAUUCGCAGAUUAAAGAAAUUCUGCCAUAGUUAUUAAAAUAACACAAUAAACUGCAAGCUAAGAACCUUUAUAUUGUUUUCAAUUCAAGCCAACACUCACCGUAAUUUCAUUAGCAUACUUGCAAAAUAUUUUUGCCAUUUGCAGCACUAGUCAUUUUUCUCAUUAUUCGUGAUAAUUUUCUGAGUAAUCUGUCCCGUACAACAAAGCAUCUGUUAUUACAUUCUUGCAGAUUAUCCAUUAGACCUCGUCAUCACGGAUGUUGAUCGUAAGAUCAAAUUAAACUGUGAAAACGUAGAGUAUUACAAGAAAUACAAAUCAAAAUGGACUGAGAUUGAUAUUCAAAUACAAAAUAACAGCCUCCCUUACGGAUUUAGGAUACAUUAUAAAAUGUCGAACCAUUCUCUUCAAAGAUAUUCUACAUAUACUUUAGUGGAUGAGAAAAACUUAUCAGCUUGUUCAAUGGUUUUCCGAAAAUGCUACACGGUAUUCUAUGACGAGGAAACCUGGGAUGGUGCAAACCGUCAUUGCCAUAAUGGCAAUGAACAUCUUGUGACAAUUGCAUCAAGAAAAGAAAUGAAUUAUGUCCAAUACUUACUUCGAAGUUUAGCGUUUCGGAUACACUACAUAUAUAUAAGCGACGCUAAUGAACCAUAUUGGAAUGGAGCACAUAUUGGUUUACGGCGUGUAGAGGACAGAAAAAGGAGAACGAAUUUCAUAUGGAUAAAUAACAACAACGUAACUUACAGUGCUUGGUAA